rnacentral:rRNA from 1 species
CGCCUGUUUAUCAAAAACAUCAAUUCCUGCUAGUUUCUGAAGUAUGGCCAGCCCGGCCGACGCAUUUUGAGGUGAAGGGCCGGCCGAUAUUGUCCGACCAAGGGUAGCAUCGUCAUUCGUUCUUUAAUUGUGAUCGGGUAUGAAUGGCUUGCCGAGACAUGGGCUGUCUUGGGUGGAGAAUUUGUUGUUGAAUUUGAGUUUAAGUAAAAAUUUUAGAUGUUUUAUGGACGAAAGGCCCUAAGAAGUUAACAUUUAUUGCGUAUUUCUUGUGGUUUGUUUAAAUUUUUAGGGUAUCUUGUUUUGUGGGGGGGAGGGGAGGAAAAUAUUUAACUCCUCUUUUUGUGUGGUAUAUUGAUGUAUAUAUUAUAUUGAUCCAUUUAUUUUGAUUGUAAGAUUAAAUUACCUUAGGGAUAACAGCGUAA